rnacentral:rRNA from 1 species
UUUUAGCAUGCAGUCGUACGGUAUGGGGUUUCUUCGGAAGCCCUUGAGAGUGGCGGACGGGUGAGUAACACGUAGGUGAUCUACCCUUGGAUGGGGGAUAGUCCAUGGAAACAUGGGGUAAUACCGCAUAAAGCCUUUAGUCUGCGGAUUAGGGGUUAAAGGUGCUAUUGUGCUGUCUGAGGAUGAGCCUGCGGUCCAUUAGUUAGUUGGUGGGGUAAAGGCCUACCAAGGCGAUGAUGGAUAGCCGGCCUGAGAGGGUGUACGGUCACACUGGGACUGAGACACGGCCCAGACUCCUACGGGAGGCAGCAGCUAAGAAUCUUCCGCAAUGGGCGAAAGCCUGACGGAGCGACGCCGCGUGAACGAUGAAGGCCGAGAGGUUGUAAAGUUCUUUUGCAGGUGAAGAAUAAUGAGGGGAGUGGAAUGCCCUUCAGAUGACGUUAGCCUGCGAAUAAGCCCCGGCCAAUUACGUGCCAGCAGCCGCGGUAACACGUAAGGGGCGAGCGUUGUUCGGAAU